rnacentral:rRNA from 1 species
UUCCAGACUCCUACGGGAGGCAGCAGUGAGGAAUAUUGGUCAAUGGCCGGAAGGCUGAACCAGCCAAGUCGCGUGAGGGAAUAAGGCCCUAUGGGUCGUAAACCUCUUUUGUCAGGGAGCAAAGGCGUCCACGUGUGGACGAGAGGAGAGUACCUGAAGAAAAAGCAUCGGCUAACUCCGUGCCAGCAGCCGCGGUAAUACGGGGGAUGCAAGCGUUAUCCGGAUUUAUUGGGUUUAAAGGGUGCGUAGGCUGUGAGGUAAGUCAGCGGUGAAAUGCCCCCGCUCAACGGGGUGAAGUGCCAUUGAUACUGCCUUGCUGGAAUGCGGAUGCCGUGGGAGGAAUGUGUGGUGUAGCGGUGAAAUGCAUAGAUAUCACACAGAACACCGAUUGCGAAGGCAUCUCACGAAUCCGCGAUUGACGCUGAUGCACGAAAGCGUGGGUAUCAAACAGGAUUAGAUACCCGGGUAC